GCGCCGGGGUUCCACCUCUUCCCAUCCCGAACAGAGAAGUUAAACCCGGUAGCGCCGAUGGUACUGCAUCUUUGUGGGAGAGUAGGUCGCCGCCAGCC
rnacentral:rRNA from 1 species